rfam:Acidobacteria bacterium RIFCSPLOWO2_12_FTLL_59_11 rifcsplowo2_12_scaffold_11984, whole genome shotgun sequence.
CCCAGGACUUACGUCCUGGGCUACUCUCAGUCGCCCCUCCGGGGCU